UCUUCCUAUUCUUGUUUUAAUAGAAGCCAACAAAGGAAGUCGUGGAGAUGCCUCCGAUAGCUAGUGCGGAGCAUAGUCUAUAACCAAAAAUCCUAUCAGCGAGAAAGCUCUCCACGAUGGCAUAAUGAUAGAUAAGACGUUCUUUCUCAAAAGCAGACAGUCGUGCGGGCGCCCGGCACCAGCUCAAGAGAACCCGGCCCUUCUAGC
rnacentral:lncRNA from 1 species